rnacentral:rRNA from 1 species
UAUCUCUGUAGAGUCUGCAUAUCAAUAAGCGGAGGAAAAGAAACUAACUAGGAUUCCCUUAGUAACGGCGAGUGAAGCGGGAAGAGCUCAAAUUUGAAAUCUUCAAGGUUCUACCUUGACGAAUUGUAGUUUAAAGAAGUGUUUUCUGUUAGAUGAGUAGCAAAAGUUCCUUGGAAUAGGGACAUCAUAGAGGGUGAGAAUCCCGUAUUUGACUUAUUCAUUCUAGCUUUGUGAUACACUUUCAAAGAGUCGGAUUGUUUGGGAAUGCAGUCCAAAAUGGGUGGUAAAUUUCAUCUAAAGCUAAAUAUUGGCGAGAGACCGAUAGCGAACAAGUACCGUGAGGGAAAGAUGAAAAGAACUUUGAAAAGAGAGUUAAACAGUACGUGAAAUUGUCAAAAGGGAAGCGUUUGACACCAGUGUUGUUUUUCCGAAAAUCAAUUACGAAUGGCUUGAUUCUGUGUUGUAUUGACCUUAUCAGCUUUCUGCACUUUUUUCGAGUCUUUCUUAAUGCACUUUUCGGUUAACAAGUCAACAUCAAUUUCUUUUGUUGUAAAAGAGGUCAUUCGGAAGGUGGCUUUCUUUUCGGAGAAAGUGUUUAUAGCCUUAUGCCUCUACAAUCGGAGAGAUUGAGGUCUGCAGCGUAGAUCCUUCGGGGUUAGAUACAUUUGUGCUAAGUUAGUAGCCUUUCAUAGACAACUUGUUGACUAUGAUCAGUCAUGUAGGCUUACUCGCUUAUGCUAUUUUACCUACGCUUAGGAUGUUGACGAGACUGUCGAUCUC